AAACCAGCACCUCAAGUGGUCAGGAUGAUUAUUGGGCCUAAAGCAUCCGUAGCCGGCUCUGUAAGUUUUCGGUUAAAUCUGUACGCUUAACGUACAGGCUGCCGGGAAUACUGCAGAGCUAGGGAGUGGGAGAGGUAGACGGUACUCGGGAGGAAGUGGUAAAAUGCUUUGAUCUCUCGAUGACCACCUGUGGCGAAGGCGGUCUACCAGAACACGUCCGACGGUGAGGGAUGAAAGCUGGGGGAGCAAACCGGAUUAGAUACCCGGGUAGUCC
rnacentral:rRNA from 1 species